rnacentral:tRNA from 1 species
CAAGUUAAGUUCUAGGAACGUUAUUAUUUACAAUAAUAAUUACGGUUAUGUGCAAUUCAGCCUAGCUUGA